rnacentral:tRNA from 1 species
GGGCGCAUAGCUCAGUUGGUGAGAGCGCGGUUCUUAUAAAGCCGAGGUCAGUGGUUCGAGUCCACUCGGGCCUA